rnacentral:rRNA from 1 species
GAUGAACGCUGGCGGCGUGCCUAAUACAUGCAAGUCGAGCGAACAGACGAGGAGCUUGCUCCUCUGACGUUAGCGGCGGACGGGUGAGUAACACGUGGAUAACCUACCUAUAAGACUGGGAUAACUUCGGGAAACCGGAGCUAAUACCGGAUAAUAUAUUGAACCGCAUGGUUCAAUAGUGAAAGACGGUUUUGCUGUUACUUAUAGAUGGUUCCGCGCCGCAUUAGCUAGUUGGUAAGGUAACGGCUUACCAAGGCAACGAUGCGUAGCCGACCUGAGAGGGUGAUCGGCCACACUGGAACUGAGACACGGUCCAGACUCCUACGGGAGGCAGCAGUAGGGAAUCUUCCGCAAUGGGCGAAGGCCUGACGGAGCAACGCCGCGUGAGUGAUGAAGGUCUUCGGAUCGUAAAACUCUGUUAUUAGGGAAGAACAAAUGUGUAAGUAACUAUGCACGUCUUGACGGUACCUAAUCAGAAAGCCACGGCUAACUACGUG